GAUGAACGCUGGCGGCGUGCCUAAUACAUGCAAGUCGAGCGAACAGACGAGGAGCUUGCUCCUUUGACGUUAGCGGCGGACGGGUGAGUAACACGUGGGUAACCUACCUAUAAGACUGGGAUAACUUCGGGAAACCGGAGCUAAUACCGGAUAAUAUUUCGAACCGCAUGGUUCGAUAGUGAAAGAUGGCUUUGCUAUCACUUAUAGAUGGACCUGCGCCGUAUUAGCUAGUUGGUAAGUUAACGGCUUACCAAGGCAACGAUACGUAGCCGACCUGAGAGGGUGAUCGGCCACACUAGAGCUGGGACACGGACCAGAGUCCUACGGGAGGCAGCAGUCGGGAAUGUUCGGCAAUGGGCGAAAGUCUGACGGAACAACGCCAAGUGAGUGAUGGCGGUCUUCGGAUCGUAAAACUCUGUUAUUAGGGAAGAACAACCGUGGAAGUAACUGUGCACGGAUUGACGGUACCUAAUAAGAAAGCCACGGCUAACUACGUG
rnacentral:rRNA from 1 species